rfam:TPA: Bos taurus chromosome 14, whole genome shotgun sequence.
UCCCUGGUGGUCCAGUGGUUAAGACUCUGCACUCCCAAAGCAAGGGGCCUGGGCUGGAUCCCUGGUCAGGGAA